rnacentral:lncRNA from 1 species
UCAUGUAUUUCUCUCAUCUCAGCCUCCCAGCUGGCUGGGAUUACAGGCACAAGCCACCAUGCCUGGUCCUAGUGGCUUUAAUUGUCCACUAAAAUCAGUUUAUUUACCAAAGAUUUACCUAAGUCAUGUGAACUUUAAAAAAAUGUGAGUUAACUACUAUUUUUCUGAUAAAUUACUUAAGUGCUUAAUUUUUUUCUUUAAGUCAGUUAAAUAGAGCUCUUUCAUACAUUUUGGUAGAAAAUAUUACAUACAUAUAUAGACACAAGAACAUACAGACAACACAAAAAGAUAUUUUCCCUUUUCCCUUUAAAAUUUUAGUCAUGAUACAUUAAAACAGUAAUAUACUGUGCCAUUUAGAAUGUUUAUUUUUGCUCUUUGAAAGUGUUCAGAAACAAGCAGGGAAAACAAAAGAGCCAAAUUAUUUACAGUUGCAUGUAACCAAAUUGACAUGAAACCAAAUGAAGCGUGCUCACAAAAAUUUUAAGCCAGGCUUGCAGAGCAAACAAAAUAUAAAACCGUGUUUGCAGAAAAACCAAAGCAAAUUCAGUAGAAAAUACAUGCCUCACAGAACGUAAGUUCUGUGGGAACCAGAGUACUCUCCAAAAGAACACUUGGCCUUAUACCAGAAGAGGCUUUCCAGAAAAGACAAAAAGUCUUUUGUAGUCCCACAAGGGUUGCAAGGUCCUUAAUUUAAGGUGGCCUUAUAGCCAAAUCCAGAUCCUGAAUAAAGUCAAAAGAACUUACCAAACGAAGGACGUCUGAGAAUCUAAGCAGAGAUUCACCAGAGCAGAGAAGGAAGGCCAUAGAAGCAGAGGCCACAAAAGGGGUCAAUGUUGGUACCUCACUAGAUUCCAGGGGAUGCUGGCCUGUUUGAGGUCAGCUGACUUCUUGACACAAACUUUAUGUCAACCUAAAUAGCAGACACAGAGAGAAGAUGUCUAAAAGAAAAUUGUAUUUAUUCAGGAAUGAGUAUUGCAAUGGGAAUAUAGUGGGUGUAUUCAGGGAGGUAAAGAAAGACAAGGGCUUUUAAAGAAGUGAGGAGGGUUACAUGAGUUUUUUGAAACAAUUAUCUUUGGCUACAAGGAUCACUAACAAAGGUGGUAGUAGUUCAAGGUUGGACAGCCAGUUGCUGGGCAGCUGUCUUAACCAAAGUAUUUUUGUAUGUGUAAGGUUGUGGUGGCCUUUGUGCAAGGUUGUUGUGAUUUUUGCAGUCUUUGUGAUCGUUCCUCUUAUCAGGUAUAUGUGCAUGAGAACCUUCUUUUCAUCACCUUCCCUGGCUCCAUUUGUCCUGCUACGGUGACACCAGUCUUUUAGUCCAUACAUUUGACUUCAUGAGGAGUUUGCUAUAAUCAAUUGAAUGAAGAAGAAACAUGUGGACCUGCUUUAUAGAAGGAAUGAUGCCAGGGGGAUGAAUAGUUUUGCUGGAUGGUCAUGGACUUCAAAGAAGCAUGAUUGAUAAUUGGUUGACAAGGCAAAUUGACAAUGAGGUAUGUGAGUGGACUACUUUUAAUGAGCAGAAUAUAAAAUUACUUGCGGCCUAUUUAAUUGUCAAUAAUCAGCAACCUCACCAGAAGAUGAGCUUAAUAAUCAGGUGAUCAAGAUGGUACAUUCUGUGAAUAUUCUUCAAGAUUUUUCUCUAGUCAACCAUGUCCAUUCCCAGUGGGUGCAUGAACAGUGUAGUCAUGGUGGAAGAAAUGGAGCUUAUUAGUUCAGUACUAUGAAAUUCCAUUUACUAAAUCCAAUCUGGCUACAACCACAUUUAUAUGGCCAAGCUAUCAAAAGUAUGGACUAACACUGGACCUCAGAUAGGCACUGUUCUUCAAAGGGGACUACCAACCUCCUGCUGGAAUUUGAUUACACCGGACCACUUUGAUCAUGGAGGAGACAGCACUUUGUUUUCAGUGGAAAAGACAAUUACUCUAGAUAUGAAUUUGCCUUUCCUAUUCCAAUGUUUCUGAUAAAAGCAUCACAUGUGGACUUUACAAAAUGUUUUAUUUUCUGCCAUGGAAUUCCACCCAGCAUUUCUUGUGACCAGGGCAGUCAUUUUUCAAAAAAUGAAUUGUAUCCAUUGGGCUCAUGUUGAUAGAAUUCACUAAACUUACCAUGAUUCCUGUUAACAGUUCCAUUUCAGUAGUGGGACAUGCCUCAAUUCUCAGAAGUCCUACCAUCUCUGAUUUGUCUUCCCAUGUUUGUUUACCUAAUUCCUACUUUAAAAUGUCCUUGUCCCUAAAAUCCUAGUGAUUCUGCUUCUCUGAUUGAACCCUGACUGAUAUUGAACCAUUUCUGCUCCUUUUCAGACACUACCCCUCUCUCUCAACUAUAAUCACUUUCCUAACUUCUAUCACCAUUGACUACUUUUCCUUUUAUCUUUAUAUAUAUGAAACCAUAUUGUAUAUAUCCUUUUGUGUCUCUGUUUUGCCCAACAUUAUGUUUGUGAGAUUGAACUAUGCUGCUGUUUUAUAGCAAUUGUUUACUUAUUUUGUUACUGUAGAGCAAGUGUAGGCACACUACAUCCCAUGGGUGAAAUCUUGUAUAUAUUUCGGGGUGCACAUGUGUGUGUGUUUCUGCUUGCUAGAAGUGGAAUUUCUGUGUCAUGGAGAAUACAUAAAUUUAACUCUAGCAGAUACUGUGAAACAUUUUCCAAAGUGAUUGUACCAAUUUACACUCUUACAAGGACCGUGGUAGAGUUCCAUCUGCUCCACGUGCUUGCCAAUGUUUGGUGUUGUCAGACUUAAAUUAUUUUUAAAUUAUUUUUUAAAUUCACCAUUCUAAUUUUUUAAAAGAAGUAGAGUAUAAUGCUGGUUACCAGGGGCUGGAGUGGAGGGGUUGGGACAUAUUGGUCAAAAGAUAUAACAUGUCAGUUAUACACGAGUAAUUUUUAAAAAAUCAGUGAUUCUGGUAUGGCAAUAGAGUUGUCUCAUUGAGGGUUUAAUUUAUACUGCUGUAAUGACUAAUGAAGUUGAGCAAACAGAGCAUGUAUCUGAAGCCUUGUACAUUUGUAUAUUCUUCAUAUAGUGCUUACUCAAGUGAUUUGUUGAUUUGUCUAUUUGGUUGUCAGUCUUAUUCUUGUAUUUAUAGGAUUUCUUUAUAUUCUGCUUACAAGCCUUUUGACAUAUGUGUGUAUUGUGAUUAUCUUUUCAACUGUGGCCAGCAUUUUCACUUUCCUUAUGGUACAUUUGAUAAACAACCAUUCUCAUUUUAAGUUUUUUAAUUUUACUUUUCAGUUGGUACUUUAAAAAAUCGUUGCCAACAUUAGAGAAGGUCACAAAGAUAUUUUAGUAGCUAUUUAAAAAAAUCUUUUAAUUUUAAGAUCUAUAUUCCAUAUCAUAUUGAUAUUUACAUAUGGGAUGUGCUAAAGGUCAAGAUUAAUUAUUUUUCUAUGUGAAGAAUAUACAAUAUCCUCACUUCUUAAGAGAUUUCUCCAUUUUAUUAUCUUUGUCAAAUAUCAAAUGACUAGAUAUAUGUAAAUCUGUUUCUGAACUUUCUAUUAUCUUCCAUUAGUCUAUUCAUAUUUGCAUAUAUAGCACACUUUUAAUUACUGCAAAUACAUAAAAUGUCUUGAUGUCUUAUCGCAUAAACCCACCUCUUUCUAUUUUCUUUUGAUGUUUUGGUUAUUCUUGACUGUUGCUUUUGUUUACAGAUUUUAGACUCAGCUUGCCAGUUUUCACCAAAAAACUGCUGAGAAUUUUAUUAAAUAUAUAGAUUAUUCAAAGGAGCACUGAUAGCUUUACAACAUUGAAUUGUCCAGUAUCUGAAUAGCACCACAUAUUUUAAAUUUUCAUUGAAGUAUAAAUAUAUGUAGAAAAAUGUA